GCCGGGCGGGGUGGCUAAAGCCUGUAAUCCCAGCACUUUGGGAGGCCUAGAUGGGCGGAUCACAAGAUCAGGAGAUCCAGACCAUCCUGGCUAACACGGUGAAACCCCAUCUCUACUAAAAAUNNNNNNNNNNAUUUUUAGUAGAGAUGGGGUUUCACCGUGUUAGCCAGGAUGGUCUGGAUCUCCUGAUCUUGUGAUCCGCCCAUCUAGG
rfam:Chlorocebus sabaeus isolate 1994-021 chromosome 20, whole genome shotgun sequence.